rnacentral:rRNA from 1 species
UACGUAGGGGGCAAGCGUUGUCCGGAAUCAUUGGGCGUAAAGAGCGCGUAGGCGGUCCGGUAAGUCCGCUCUGAAAGCCCGGGGCUCAACCCCGGGAGGCGGGCGGAUACUGUCGGGCUAGAGUCCGGAAGAGGCGAGUGGAAUUCCUGGUGUAGCGGUGAAAUGCGCAGAUAUCAGGAGGAACACCGAUGGCGAAGGCAGCUCGCUGGGACGGUACUGACGCUGAGGCGCGAAGGCGUGGGGAGCAAACAGG